rnacentral:rRNA from 1 species
GAGGGUUUGAUCCUGGCUCAGGACGAACGCUGGCGGCGUGCCUAAUACAUGCAAGUCGAACGAGAGCGACCGGUGCUUGCACUGGUCAAUCUAGUGGCGAACGGGUGAGUAACACGUGGGUAACCUGCCCAUCAGAGGGGGAUAACAUUCGGAAACGGAUGCUAAAACCGCAUAGGUCUUCGAACCGCAUGGUUUGAAGAGGAAAAGAGGCGCAAGCUUCUGCUGAUGGAUGGACCCGCGGUGCAUUAGCUAGUUGGUGAGGUAACGGCUCACCAAGGCCGUGAUGCAUAGCCGACCUGAGAGGGUGAUCGGCCACAUUGGGACUGAGACACGGCCCAAACUCCUACGGGAGGCAGCAGUAGGGAAUCUUCCGCAAUGGACGCAAGUCUGACGGAGCAACGCCGCGUGAGUGAAGAAGGUUUUCGGAUCGUAAAACUCUGUUGUUAGAGAAGAACAAGUGCUAGAGUAACUGUUAGCGCCUUGACGGUAUCUAACCAGAAAGCCACGGCUAACUACGUGCCAGCAGCCGCGGUAAUACGUAGGUGGCAAGCGUUGUCCGGAUUUAUUGGGCGUAAAGCGAGCGCAGGCGGUUCCUUAAGUCUGAUGUGAAAGCCCCCGGCUCAACCGGGGAGGGUCAUUGGAAACUGGGGGACUUGAGUGCAGAAGAGGAGAGUGGAAUUCCAUGUGUAGCGGUGAAAUGCGUAGAUAUAUGGAGGAACACCAGUGGCGAAGGCGACUCUCUGGUCUGUAACUGACGCUGAGGCUCGAAAGCGUGGGUAGCAAACAGGAUUAGAUACCCUGGUAGUCCACGCCGUAAACGAUGAGUGCUAAGUGU